CACUAGAAGAAAUGAUUUUUAGCAAUACCUGCCCAGUGCGACAUAUUACUGUAAACGGCCGCCCUAGCGUGAGGGUGCUAAGGUAGCGAAAUUCCUUGCCUUUUAAUUGUAGGCCUGCAUGAAUGGUUUAACGAGGGUUAAGCUGUCUCUAAGUUUAUAAGUUGAAAUUGUAUUAAAGGUGAAGAUACCUUUAUUUUGAAGUUAGACAAAAAGACCCCGUGCAACUUUGAAAAUUAGCUUUAUUAAAAGGUGAGAGAUUUUUAGGUGGGGCGCCUAGAGAGCUAGUUCUAACCUCUUUUACUGAGUUAUUAAAACUUUCAAGUCUUGACCCGGUUACACCCGAUCAUAGGAGAAGUUACGCCGGGGAUAACAGGCUAAUCCUUUAGUAGAGCUCGUAUUGGCUAAAGGGAUUGGCACCUCGAUGUUGAAUCAGGGAUGAUACCUUUGAGGCGUAGAAGCUUCGAGAGUGGGUCUGUUCGACCUUUAAUACCCU
rnacentral:rRNA from 2 species